UCCCUAGUGGUCCAAUGGUUAAGAUGUUGUGCUUCCAAUGCAGGGGGCACAGAUUCAAUUCCUGGUCAGGGAA
rnacentral:tRNA from 1 species